UACGGAGGGUGCGAGCGUUGUCCGGAAUUACUGGGCGUAAAGGGCUUGUAGGUGGUUUGUCGCGUUGUUCGUGAAAUGCCACAGCUUAACUGUGGGCGUGCGGGCGAUACGGGCAGACUAGAGUACUGCAGGGGAGACUGGAAUUCCUGGUGUAGCGGUGGAAUGCGCAGAUAUCAGGAGGAACACCGGUGGCGAAGGCGGGUCUCUGGGCAGUAACUGACGCUGAGAAGCGAAAGCGUGGGGAGCAAACAGG
rnacentral:rRNA from 1 species